UAACGCGUGGAUAACCUGCCGUAUACCGGGGGAUAACACUUAGAAAUAGGUGCUAAUACCGCAUGAGCGCACAGCUCCGCAUGGAGCGGUGUGAAAAACUCCGGUGGUAUACGAUGGAUCCGCGUCUGAUUAGCCAGUUGGCGGGGUAACGGCCCACCAAAGCGACGAUCAGUAGCCGGCCUGAGAGGGUGAACGGCCACAUUGGGACUGAGACACGGCCCAGACUCCUACGGGAGGCAGCAGUGGGGAAUAUUGCACAAUGGGGGAAACCCUGAUGCAGCGACGCCGCGUGAGUGAAGAAGUAUCUCGGUAUGUAAAGCUCUAUCAGCAGGAAAGAUAAUGACGGUACCUGACUAAGAAGCCCCGGCUAACUACGUGCCAGCAGCCGCGGUAAUACGUAGGGGGCAAGCGUUAUCCGGAUUUACUGGGUGUAAAGGGAGCGUAGACGGCAGCGCAAGUCUGGAGUGAAAUGCCGGGGCCCAACCCCGGAACUGCUUUGGAAACUGUGCGGCUCGAGUGCGGGAGAGGUAGGCGGAAUUCCUAGUGUAGCGGUGAAAUGCGUAGAUAUUAGGAGGAACACCAGUGGCGAAGGCGGCUUACUGGACCGUAACUGACGUUGAGGCUCGAAAGCGUGNGGAGCAAACAGGAUUAGAUACCCUGGUAGU
rnacentral:rRNA from 1 species